AAUCCAUAGGUUAAUGAGGCGAACCGGGGGAACUGAAACAUCUAAGUACCCCGAGGAAAAGAAAUCAACCGAGAUUCCCCCAGUAGCGGCGAGCGAACGGGGAGGAGCCCAGAGCCUGAAUCAGCAUGUGUGUUAGUGGAAGCGUCUGGAAAGGCGCGCGAUACAGGGUGACAGCCCCGUACACAAAAGCGCAUGUGCUGUGAGCUCGAUGAGUAGGGCGGGACACGUGGUAUCCUGUCUGAAUAUGGGGGGACCAUCCUCCAAGGCUAAAUACUCCUGACUGACCGAUAGUGAACCAGUACCGUGAGGGAAAGGCGAAAAGAACCCCGGCGAGGGGAGUGAAAAAGAACCUGAAACCGUGUACGUACAAGCAGUGGGAGCACCCUUUGGGGUGUGACUGCGUACCUUUUGUAUAAUGGGUCAGCGACUUAUAUUCUGUAGCAAGGUUAACCGAAUAGGGGAGCCGGAGGGAAACCGAGUCUUAAUUGGGCGUUAAGUUGCAGGGUAUAGACCCGAAACCCGGUGAUCUAGCCAUGGGCAGGUUGAAGGUUGGGUAACACUAACUGGAGGACCGAACCGACUAAUGUUGAAAAAUUAGCGGAUGACCUGUGGCUGGGGGUGAAAGGCCAAUCAAACCGGGAGAUAGCUGGUUCUCCCCGAAAGCUAUUUAGGUAGCGCCUCGUGAAUUCAUCUCCGGGGGUAGAGCACUGUUUCGGCUAGGGGGCCAUCCCGGCUUACCAACCCGAUGCAAACUGCGAAUACCGGAGAAUGUUAUCACGGGAGAC
rnacentral:rRNA from 1 species